GAGUGAACGCUGGCGGUAGGCCUAACACAUGCAAGUCGAACGGCAGCACAGUAAGAGCUUGCUCUUACGGGUGGCGAGUGGCGGACGGGUGAGGAAUACAUCGGAAUCUACUUUUUCGUGGGGGAUAACGUAGGGAAACUUACGCUAAUACCGCAUACGACCUACGGGUGAAAGCAGGGGAUCUUCGGACCUUGCGCGAUUGAAUGAGCCGAUGUCGGAUUAGCUAGUUGGCGGGGUAAAGGCACACCAAGGCGACGAUCCGUAGCUGGUCUGAGAGGAUGAUCAGCCACACUGGAACUGAGACACGGUCCAGACUCCUACGGGAGGCAGCAGUGGGGAAUAUUGGACAAUGGGCGCAAGCCUGAUCCAGCCAUACCGCGUGGGUGAAGAAGGCCUUCGGGUUGUAAAGCCCUUUUGUUGGGAAAGAAAAGCAGCAGGUUAAUACCCCGCUGUUCUGACGGUACCCAAAGAAUAAGCACCGGCUAACUUCGUG
rnacentral:rRNA from 1 species